GUAAGGAAUAUUGCACAAUGGGCGCAAGCCUGAUGCAGCAACGCCGCGUGCGCGACGAAGGCCUUCGGGUCGUAAAGCGCUUUUGGGGCAGAAGAGGAAGGACAGUAGGCCCCGAAUAAGUGUCGGCUAACUACGUGCCAGCAGCCGCGGUAAAACGUAGGACACGAGCGUUAUCCGGAGUUACUGGGCGUAAAGCGCAGGCAGGCGGCUGGGGAAGUCUGACGUGAAAGCUCCUGGCUCAACCGGGAGAGGGCGUUGGAAACUCUCUGGCUCGAGGGUGGUAGAGGUGCGUGGAAUUCCGGGUGGAGUGGUGAAAUACGUAGAGAUCCGGAGGAACACCAGAGGCGAAGGCGGCGCACUGGGCCACCCCUGACGCUGAACUGCGAAGGCAUGGGGAGCGAACGGGAUUAGAAACCCCAGUAGUCC
rnacentral:rRNA from 1 species